AUCGAACGCUGGCGGCAGGCCUAACACAUGCAAGUCGAGCGGAGCGGCGGACGGGUGAGUAAUGCCUAGGAAGCUGCCUGGGAGUGGGGGAUCACGUCCGGAAACGGGCGCUAAUAUAGCAUACUAUCAGAUGAGCCUAGGUCUGAUUCGCUAGUUGGUGGGGUAAAGGCUUACCAAGGCGACGAUCCGUAACUGGUCUGAGAGGAUGAUCAGUAACACUGGAACUGAGACACGGUCCAGACUCCUACGGGAGGCAGCAGUGGGGAAUAUUGGACAAUGGGCGAAAGCCUGAUCCAGCAAUGCCGCGUGUGUGAAGAAGGUCUUCGGAUUGUAAAGCACUGUAGUUUGGGAGGCGUUACCAACAGAGUAAGCACCGGCUAACUACGUGCCAGCCGCCGCGGUAAUUC
rnacentral:rRNA from 1 species